AGUGAACGCUGGCGGUAUGCCUAACACAUGCAAGUCGAACGGCAGCACAGUAAGAUCUUGCUCUUACGGGUGGCGAGUGGCGGACGGGUGAGGAAUACAUCGGAAUCUACUUUUUCGUGGGGGAUAACGUAGGGAAACUUACGCUAAUACCGCAUACGACCUACGGGUGAAAGCAGUGGAUCUUCGGACCUUUCGCGAUUGAAUGAGCCGAUGUCGGAUUAGCUAGUUGGCGGGGUAAAGGCCCACCAAGGCGACGAUCCGUAGCUGGCCUGAGAGGAUGAUCAGCCACACUGGAACUGAGACACGGUCCAGACUCCUACGGGAGGCAGCAGUGGGGAAUAUUGGGCAAUGGGCGAAAGCCUGAUGCAGCAAUACCGCGUGAGUGAAGAAGGCCUUCGGGUCGUAAAGCCCUUUUGUUGGGAAAGAAAAGAAGCAGGAUAAUCCCCCGCUGUUCUGACGGUACCCAAAGAGAAAGCACCGGCUAACUACGUG
rnacentral:rRNA from 1 species